UGACUUUCACACUAGGGAGAGAAAAGAUCUCAGGACCUCAAUUAAGCUUAUAGUGGCCUCUCUUUCUUUGAGGGGCACAACAGAU